ACAGAGGGUGCAAGCGUUAAUCGGAAUUACUGGGCGUAAAGCGUGCGUAGUCGGUUAUCUAAGUCGGGUGUGAAAUCCCCGGGCUCAACCUGGGAAUUGCAUUCGAUACUGGAUAGCUAGAGUUCGGCAGAGGGAAGCGGAAUUUCGGGUGUAGCGGUGAAAUGCGUAGAUAUCCGAAGGAACAUCAGUGGCGAAAGCGGCUUCCUGGACCAGAACUGACGAUCAGGCACGAAAGCGUGGGGAGCAAACAGGA
rnacentral:rRNA from 1 species